ACGUCAGGGCGCCGGUGGCCGCCGCGAGCCCGAGCUCGAGCCGAAGCAGUUAUGUCCGGGAAAGAGGAGAGCGACACAGCAAUGAAGAGCAUGUUUGAACGUGGUCCAAAGAAGAGACAAGUGAAGACGCUAGCAACAUCCCUCUUGGAAGCAUUAGAUUAUGACAGCUCAGAUGACAGUGAUUUUGAAGUGGGAGAUGCUUCAGAUUCUGAUGGGAGUGGAGAGAGUGCUGGUAAGGACAGUGAAGAAGGUUCAGAGAGUGAAGGGGGACAAAAUGGCAGUGAAGAGGACUCUGAACAGGAUAAAAAGGAUACUUCUGAUGGAAAGAUAGAAGCUGAAUGCAAAGACGAUCAGUCAGAAGAACCUGACCUGGACACCAAAGAACAAGCUGAAAGCAAAACCAGCAAGAAGAAAACUAAAGAAAUAGUGGAUGAUGCUGGGCCAGAUGAAUCAAAUGAUGGACAGAAGAAAUGGAAUUUGCGUAAAAAGAGGACAAUGCUGGAUAUGAUAUCAGUCGAAGAGUUGAAUGGUUUUGAUGAUUAUGAUAGUGAAGAUGAUAAUGACUGGCGACCUUGUAGUGGAAAGAAGAAAGGAAAAGGUGUAAAUAACGAUGAUGGUGAUGAAGGUGGUGGUGAGGAUGAUGAUAUCAGUGACAGUGAAGAUGGAAACCCUGAUGAUGAGGAAGACAGUAGCAGUGCCAGUGAAGAAGAUAGAAUUCGAAGAAAAAACAGACCUUCAAGUCAAAAAGCUGCCAAGACAGAAGGAACAAGUGAUGGCUUUAUUCUGACGCAGAAUAAGAAUUAUGAGGACUCCUUUUUAGCAGAGAGAGAACAAAACUUCAGUUCACAGAAAAUGGACUUAGUACAGAUAUGCUGUGUUUGUCUGGGAGAUAACAGUGAAGAUGCAGACGAAAUUGUCCAGUGCGACAAUUGUGGAGUGACUGUACAUGAAGGUUGCUAUGGUGUUGAUGGAGAAAGUGACUCCAUUAUGAGUUCUGCCUCUGAAAAUUCUACAGAACCUUGGUUCUGUGACGCAUGCAAAUGUGGAGCAUCACCUAGUUGUGAGUUGUGCCCCAAUGUGGAUGGAAUUUUUAAAGAAACAGAUGCUGGAAGGUGGGUUCAUGUUGUUUGUGCCCUUUAUGUACCUGGUGUGGCAUUUGGAGAUAUAGACAAACUUCGUCCUGUCACUCUUACAGAAAUGAACUAUUCAAAAUACGGUGCUAAGGAAUGCAGUUUAUGUGAAGACAUACGAUUUGCUCGAACUGGUGUAUGCAUAAGCUGUGAUGCUGGUAUGUGCAGAGCUUAUUUCCAUGUGACCUGUGCUCAGAGAGAAGGGCUACUUUCUGAAGCAGCUGCUGAAGAGGAUAUAGCUGAUCCAUUUUUUGCAUAUUGCAAACAGCAUGCUGACAAGUUUGAUAGAAAAUGGAAACGAAAGAACUAUUUAGCUUUACAGUCCUACUGCAAAAUGACUUUGCAAGAGCGAGACAAGCAUGUUACCCCAGAAGCACAGGCUCGCAUUACUACAAGACUGCAGCAAUAUCGUGCUAAAGUGGAGCUAGCUCGCAGCACCAAACCCAAUGCAUGGGUUCCCAGGGAGAAGCUGCCACGACCACUCACCAGUAGCGCCUCAGUGAUACGCAAGCUUAUGCGGAAAGCUGAACUGAUGGGAAUUAGCACAGACAUUUUCCCUGUAGACACGCUAGAUACCAACUCCAGUGUAGAUGGCAGGAGAAAGCACAAGCAGCCAGCUUUGACUGCUGACUUUGUGAAUUAUUAUCUCGAGAGGAACAUGCGCAUGAUGCAGAUACAGGAAAACAUUUGUGAACAAAAGAACUUAAAGGAUAAACUUCAAAAUGAGCAGGAAUCACUUCAUGUAGAGUAUAAUAAGUUGUUUGAAUCUCUAGAAAACCUGCGAAAUAUGAAUGGUAAAUUACGUCGAGAAGGCCAGACAUUGUGGAGUACACUCAGUAACAUUGUUGGGCAGAAAUUGAAUUUCCCUGUGAUUCUGCGUACUCCCAAGGAACGACGACCAAGUAAGAAGGAUGGAGGAACUUUGAAAUCAUUAGCACCUCCAGCAGUAUUGUACAGUUGUGGAAUUUGUAAGAAGAAUCAUGACCAGCACCUUCUUGUCCUGUGUGACACUUGCAAACUCUACUACCAUCUUGGCUGCCUAGACCCACCCCUCACCAGGAUGCCCAAGAAGACAAAAAAUAGUUACUGGCAGUGUUCUGAAUGCGACCAAGCAGGUAGUAGUGACUUGGAAGCAGAUAUUACCAUGGAAACUUUACCAGAUGGCACCAAGAGAUCAAGGAGGCAGAUUAAGGAACCUGUGAAGUUCACUCCAUUGGAUAUUGUGAUUGAACCAAAGAAGAUCAUGAACAAAAAUAUGGUACUGCCUGAUGCAAGAACCACAUGCUCAUCAAUGAGGAGUAGAGGACAGAAACGAAAAAGGGGAACCAGCUCUGAUGGAGAAAAAGCUGAGGAACCAAUUCCUCCUAGAGCAAGGCGGCGACGACAGACCUCAUUACAGAAAAGACCAAAAUCAGAAGAUCUGAGAACAGAAUGUGCUACAUGUAAAAGUCCUGGAGACAAUGAAAAUUUAGUCAGGGCAAAGAACAGAAGAGGGUUUUGGUGGGUGUUUCGUAAAAUCAGCGUUCAAGAUCAAGGAAAUUUGUUGCAUAAAAAUGAAUACAGGUGUGAUGAAUGCAGACUCUGUUACCACUUUGGCUGCCUCGACCCACCACUGAAGAAAUCCCCAAAACAGACAGGCUAUGGUUGGAUCUGUCAGGAGUGUGACUCUACAUCUUCAAAAGCUCUGCUGAAACUGAUGGAGCUUGAUGGACAUUUUGACAAGCUUUUCUUUCCAGAUUGCAGUAGCAUUCAAUCACUGACUUGACUGAAUUUCAAAUAACAUAUGGUGCUACCAGUAAUUGGAAAAUUGGCAGGCUUGUCAGGAAGCUUUGGUGGAUAGUGCAUGAAAUACAACACAGAGGCAUAAAACGUCUGUAAAAUAAGAUUCAUAGCCACUUCAGCUGACUGAAGUAACUGUCUGCAGAAUAGAAGAACAUUUUGUCACAAAAACUACUUGGUACUAUUAAUUUUGAGGAAGACGAAGAGGAGCUCGAGGAAGAUGAAGAAGGUGACGAAGAAAAUGUUUUGGAAGAAAAUGAUUUCACCCCGAUAAAUGAAUAAGAUAAAAAAAGUAUAACUAGCCAUAUAGAAAAUAGAAAUGAUAAAUGCCUCAUGUUGAGAUCUACCUUUAAAAAUAGUGAUCUGUCUGCUUUGUUCUUCAAAACAGCUUUCAUCAAAAGUUGUGUUAAUUCCAUGUCUGUGAACCUGUUAAUAAAUACCUCAAAAAUGUUUUUAAAAA